UGAGGAAUAUUGGUCAAUGGGCGAGAGCCUGAACCAGCCAAAUCGCGUGAAGGAAGACAGUAUUAUGUAUCGUAAACUUCUUUUGUCGGGGAAUAAAAAAGGACUCGUGAGUUCUAUUGCAUGUACCCGACGAAUAAGGAUCGGCUAACUCCGUGCCAGCAGCCGCGGUAAUACGGAGGAUCCGAGCGUUAUCCGGAUUUAUUGGGUUUAAAGGGUGCGUAGGCGGCAUGUUAAGUCAGCGGUGAAAGUUCAAGGCUCAACCUUGAAAUUGCCGUUGAAACUGGCAAGCUUGAGUACAGUAGAGGUAGGCGGAAUUCGUGGUGUAGCGGUGAAAUGCUUAGAUAUCACGAAGAACUCCAAUUGCGAAGGCAGCUUACCGGAGUGUAACUGACGCUGAGGCACGAAAGUGUGGGGAUCAAACA
rnacentral:rRNA from 1 species